rnacentral:rRNA from 1 species
UUGGCGGCAGCUUAGACAUGCAGUCGAACGAACUCUUCGGAGUUAGUGGCGACGGGUGAGUAACGCGUGGGAAUAUACCUUUCGGUACGGAACAACAGUUGGAAACGACUGCUAAUACCGUAUGCGCCCUAUGGGGGAAAGAUUUAUCGCCGAAGGAUUAGCCCGCGUUGGAUUAGCUAGUUGGUGGGGUAAAGGCCUACCAAGGCGACGAUCCAUAGCUGGUCUGAGAGGAUGAUCAGCCACACUGGGACUGAGACACGGCCCAGACUCCUACGGGAGGCAGCAGUGGGGAAUAUUGGACAAUGGGGGCAACCCUGAUCCAGCCAUGCCGCGUGAGUGAUGAAGGCCCUAGGGUUGUAAAGCUCUUUCAGCGAGGAGGAUAAUGACGUUACUCGCAGAAGAAGCCCCGGCUAACUUCGUGCCAGCAGCCGCGGUAAUACGAAGGGGGCUAGCGUUGUUCGGAAUCACUGGGCGUAAAGCGCACGUAGGCGGAUUGGUCAGUUAGGGGUGAAAUCCCAGAGCUCAACUCUGGAACUGCCUUUAAUACUGCCAGUCUUGAGUCCGAGAGAGGUGAGUGGAACUCCGAGUGUAGAGGU